rnacentral:rRNA from 1 species
CAGCAGCCGCGGGAAUACGUAGGGCGCAAGCGUUAUCCGGAAUUAUUGGGCGUAAAGAGCUCGUAGGCGGUUUGUCGCGUCUGCCGUGAAAGUCCGGGGCUCAACCCCGGAUCUGCGGUGGGUACGGGCAGACUAGAGUGAUGUAGGGGAGACUGGAAUUCCUGGUGUAGCGGUGAAAUGCGCAGAUAUCAGGAGGAACACCGAUGGCGAAGGCAGGUCUCUGGGCAUUAACUGACGCUGAGGAGCGAAAGCAUGGGGAGCGAACAGGUUUAGAUACCCCUGUAGUCCCUGUCUCUUAUCC